GAAGGUUAUGGUUGAUUCACCUGGUCUGGCCAAUAACAGGAAUUAAAAACAUGCACAGAUAGGAAGAAUUCCACUUUUAUGCAGAAAUCUGCACCACUUACAGCAGUUGCUCUUGCUCCUCCAAGGUAGAUCAGAAUGUUGCUCAGGGCUGGUACUGAUUGUAGGCUAUAGCUGUCUGUUAGGAGUAGUCAUGACCUUGGAGGUAGAGUUUGUGUUAGCAGUUCUUCCUGCUCUCACCAAUGUGUGUAUUAGAGGAAGGUAGUGCCAGUCACCUCUUUAAUAGAGUCUUUUUAAUUCCUUUGCAGUUUAGGGCAGGAACAAACUGUGAGGCAUGUUCAACGACCCAUGAAUCCAGUGAAGAUACACCCAGUGACCUGCUGUUAGCAAUGACUCAAGGCUUUAAUGAUUCUAUAUUUUUCCACUGUUCUGGUGGUUUCAGUCUUUUAUUUCUAUCUUCAUAUCAGGUUGGUAGAAUCCAUCUGUUACAGCUAAAUACAGUGACAUGAGGCCUGAAAAGGUCAGGAGCAGAACAGAUUUCCUUCCUCCAGAUGGAAGCUUUAGAACAACAGGGAAUAAUUACAUAUAAAUGCAAGAAUGCUCAGGUAACUGAUCGGAUUUUAUCUGCCUGAUCCUUGUAUGAUGCGAAUAGAAGAUCGACCUGUCCCUGAACUCUCUUGGCAGCUUCACGGAAUGACUUAAACGAGAUCAGCUAAAACGAUUAUACUCGAUGGGUUUUAAUGAUCAGCCAAACCAAUUUAUCAGCUUGUUUCUCAUUGGGACUUUCAUUCCAGCACGAGACAGGCUGACUUUACAGACUGGCUGCAUCUUGUUGACAAAACAAUUAAUAAUCUUGGAGGGCUGCACAUCAGAUGGCACGUGUGUUUCCUGCAGGGACAGAAGGCAGAGGUCUACAGGGGGAAAAACCAGGAAGAAAUGAAAUGGGUGGAAAGAGCAAAUCAGGUGUCCCUCACCCUACAAUGACAAUGGUGCCAUUCCUAGUUUUAUGGGAAUCCUAAAGAGGAUCAUGUGCAUCAACAGAAGCCUGCUGCGUCCAUCAGCGUGGAAUGAACGAUACACAAGAUUGUAUGGAAGCUCUCUGCAUAGAGUGUCCUGGUUCUCCCCAUCCCCUCCUCACGGCUCUCUGGACUCCAGGAGCCCGGGUCAUUAUACAAAGCCAUAGGACGCCCUCCUCUGGAUUGCUGUGUCCA